UGGCAAUCAGAAACCAGCUUUUUGGACAAUCAUCAAUGACCACAUCAGUUUGGAAAUGAUUGCAAUAGAAAAUCAUAAAUUUUGUGUCAAAUAUGCAACUAACUCAUGCAAGUUGCAACCAUUUGCACAAU
rnacentral:snoRNA from 1 species